ensembl:lncRNA
CCUGGACCUGAACACAUGUUCAGUAUUUACAUGUAUGUACAUGACAAUAAAAUGCAUUCCUGUCAGUUAGCAUGCAACGGGAGGGGUAAUGGCAUUUAAGUAGUGAGAGCCGGGACCUGCUUGGUCAUCCUGACCUUCAGUGCACAGAUCCCAUAAAAAAGGUCGACCUCCUGCUGUUAACACGGUGGACGUCCCAAGCGGAGGAAAUAUUGUUUGAAAUUCUGAUGACGGAUAUCGGCCGUUGCCUGGAGAAGAUCCUGCAGAUGGAAAUGAACCACGAUGAUCUUUACGUGGACGCGAUUCAGUGCAUUGACGCCGUGCCCCAAAAUGUCCUCAAAAUCAGCCCACAACUGUCUGAUAAGCUGCAGGAGGGUUGCAUGCGAGAGCUGCUGCGGUUUCUGAAAAAGUUCACGGCGGCGCAGAAGGACCUUCUGAGAAAGAAAGCAAAAAUGGACGAACCAGAAACAAAAGAUUUUUUCAGGAAUUUGAAGAACUGUAAAGGACUCAAGCAGUACAUCCAGGAAAAAGACAAAGAGAAAAAAUACCCUCUCAUGGAAAUCAUUGAAGACAUGGAGGCUUUUACUUUGAAACUCCUGAGGGAAAUCUUCGCUGACAUCGCAGAGAGCCGCCUGAAGAAAUACUUCAAAUCACAGAACAAGGAAUUCUCCCUCUUGCUCGAUGACGUAAGAAGCCUCCUCUCAGGUCUGUCCGACUACGAGGACGUUCAGAUGAGAGUGAUGGACGAGGCCUACAAGCUCCUCGCUCACGUUUACCUCAAACGCCUCGUCGGAACGCGCCUGAGCCGCCUGAGGAGGCGCUGGCAGCCCGACGUGGGACGAAGGGUCACCGAGGACGCCGAGCUGCUUCACCACUUCCUCGCGGAUCUGGUUCGCGGGGUCGCUGGCUGGAACGCCAUGCUGCUGAAAGUCGAAGAUCUGUUGAGCGUCGAGAGUCUUGAUGUGAUGAAAGUGACAGCGGCGGAGAUGCAGAAGGAGUGUCACCCGGGGAGCGGUGACCUGCAGCUCCUGCCCGCGCUGCUGCAGUGGCGAGGUCUCUCCGGAUCCCAGAUCAGGGACGUGCAAUAUGCCAUGAUGGACCUACCCGGCUUUCAACUCCCACCCACGCCUGCUUCCUGCUUCUCCUGCUUCACCUGGUGGCGAAGCUGCUGCACGCCGGAAUCCACGGUUGUCAGCGAGGAGGACGGCUCUCAGAUCUGAUGCAAGGGAGUUGGAAUAAGCUUCAAGUGUACGUUAUGUCACUGGUGUCGCUUCCUUUCAGGUGUCGUUGUCGUAUAAGGAAAUAUACAUAUUUGUCGGGACAUUUGCACAUCGUUGACAGUACCGUUAUGUUUUGUGCAUCAACUUGUUGUAGAUCGGUCAACCUGUGCGCCUCCCGUCUCAUUCUUACUGUAUUUAUGCACAAGGCUAAAGUGCAACAGAAAGGCCGUGACUUGCGUGGAAUGUGGACGCAGGUUUCCGAAGCGAAGCUCAGCGACAGCGGGUUGGGGCCUCGUGACGUUGAGCGUCGCGUCUGCCCGAAAAAGCGGAGUAAGAGGGAAGAGGAAUAACAAGAGUUUGAGUUUGAACACGGUGCCUGAUUGCUCGCUUGUGAAAAAAACCAGAAACCAUUAGCAGAUGUGUGACUUCCAGAGAAAGCUGCUCUCUUUGCUCGUUACUGCUCAUCAGGCUUUGUUGGCCUGCUGGCCAGAGUGAGUCGCCUGGAGGCCGUGGACAGUGAAGAUUAUGCGUCUUUUUGCCGCAGAGCCAAAGCUCUGAUAAUCCAAAACACAAGAACAAAGAAUUCAGAGGCACUAAAGGGAAAAAGUUCACUUGACUUUUACAAAAAGGACUCUUUUGUUUCAAACCCUUUAAGGACCAUUUGUUGUUUCCUUUGUGUGCUGAGAGUUUUGAGCUGCACUGAUACUAAGCUCUGUCUCUUCAUUAUGAUGAAACGUUGCACAUUUCCAAACUUCACUGUAAAGAUUCUUCUCAGUAUUUAUUUCAGUUUGUAUUUAUUGGUUUUAAUUCCCUCUUCAUUCCCGGUACAAAGUCAUAUUUUCUGCUUUAAUUUAACAGUGAAUUCCUUUUAACUUUAUUAAUGUUGUACAUUGUGUUACUUUGUGGUGGUUCGUGUAGUUAAUAAGUUGCAAAUAAGGUUAAAGGGGCAAAACAAACAAAAACGCUUUUCUUUUUCUGUCAGUAAAGAAAUGAAUAAAACGAUUCCCCGGAAAGGAA